rnacentral:rRNA from 1 species
CAGUAACGGCGAGUGAAGCGGCAAGAGCUCAAAUUUGAAAGCUGGCUCCUUCGGGGUCCGCAUUGUAAUUUGCAGAGGAUGCUUCGGGAGCGGUCCCCAUCUAAGUGCCCUGGAACGGGACGUCAUAGAGGGUGAGAAUCCCGUAUGGGAUGGGGUGUCCGCGCCCGUGUGAAGCUCCUUCGACGAGUCGAGUUGUUUGGGAAUGCAGCUCUAAAUGGGUGGUAAAUUUCAUCUAAAGCUAAAUAUUGGCCGGAGACCGAUAGCGCACAAGUAGAGUGAUCGAAAGAUGAAAAGCACUUUGAAAAGAGAGUUAAAAAGCACGUGAAAUUGUUGAAAGGGAAGCGCUUGCGACCAGACUCGCUCGCGGGGUUCAGCCGGCAUUCGUGCCGGUGUACUUCCCCGCGAGCGGGCCAGCGUCGGUUUGGGCGGUCGGUCAAAGGCCUCUGGAAGGUAACGCCCCCUCGGGGGCGUCUUAUAGCCAGGGGUGCAAUGCGGCCUGCCCGGACCGAGGAACGCGCUUCGGCUCGGACGCUGGCAUAAUGGUCGUAAGCGACCCGUCUUG